UCCACAUAAAACAAGUUUAUUGUUGCAUUAUUAUUCUUUUACUUUCAUUUGAAAAAUCUAAUUAAUCCAGUACAGGUGCUUUAUAACAGGAAGGGCAUUAUAUUCAUCACUGUCGUUACUUCAGGCUCAUAAGUUAUGCCCUGCUCACCUGCCCAGAUAGUCCUUUCCUCAAGCUUUUCUUUACUUGAAAACAAAAAGAGGUCCAUCCAUGAAAAACUCUUCUCUAGUAGAAAGAAAUGUUUUUUUAAAUUAUAUAGUUUUAGAAUUAAUUAAGUAAGUAAGUAGUUAAACAAUAUUUAAAGGCAUACAUGGACAAGUCUUGUUCCCAGGGAUAGGUCCUUCCUCCCUCUGCCUCCACCCUUAUCCCUAUGGUUUCUUUGUAUUCUUCCAGUGUUUCUUCAUAUAUACGUGAGCAGAUACAAAUAAAUAUUAUCAUUACGAUUCCUCUUUUCAUUCAGAAGAGUAGCAUAAUAUAUACAUUAUUUUGUACUUUGCUUUUUAAAACUAAACAAUAUAUCUUCAACAGGAGACCUUCAAUAGGAAGACAUGUAGUGUAAACAAGAGACAUGGUGACAUUGGCAUUAAAAAAGAAAGUUUUAAAAUUCCUGUGCCAGUUCUGUCACCAUAAUCAUAGAAACUUAGAAUUGGAUAGUGUGGUAAAAGCUUUGCUGGUCAGUUAUCAAACCUGUUCCUCUUUUUCCUGGCCACAGAACUGCAUUUUAAGCCUCCCUUGCAGUUGGGCGUGGCCAUGGGACUGAAUUCCACUGGAUAGAAAGAAUGUGAACAGAGCUUCUGUGCACCACUUCUGGGUCUAGCCUAUAAAAAACUCCCCACACAAUCUUCCAUAUUCUUUCUCUGUCUGUCAGCAGGAUGUUAAUGCCUACAGCAAUCUCAUAAGCCACAUGUUGAAGAUGGCAGAAUUACAAGAUGGAAGGGCCUGGUUCCUUGAAUGACCACUUGGAAGAGAGCCACCCACCAUGAACACCCAUUUUGGAUGUUUUAUGAGUAAGAAAUAAAUUUCUUAUCAUGUCUCAGGUUUGAUAUACAGAUUUAAUACUACAGUUAGUAUUGCCUUAAUUAACAUAGACCACAACCUCAAAGUCCCUCUAGUCCAAUGACUGGCAUAUGGCAGGUGCUCAAUAAACGUGUUUGGAUAAAUGAGUGAAUACUCGAACACCUCUGGAGAUAAAGAAUUAAUCCACUACCCUAUCAAUUUAAUACAUUUCAAUCAGCUAGAAUUAUUAGAAAAUUACUUAUAUGGAGCUAAAAUCCAUUAUCUUUAACUUCUACUCAUUUGUGACCGCCCUUCCCAGUCACUCAAAAUAAGUCUGAACCCUCUUCAAGGCAGCCCUUCAGUUAUUUAAUAAUACUUACUCUCAUUCCCUCCAUGACAAACCUCUGGUUUCCAAGCUAAAUAAUGUUUUUCAUUGUUCUUAUUAUGUUAUAGUUACUAAAACUCUUAUCACCAUCUUUACCCUCCUCUGGGCAUUUUGGUUGGUUUGUCAUUGUUCCCCAUUCAAUGGGUAUUCAGAACAGAACAUCAUACUCUUGGCAACACUGACCAGCGUGGGAGGGUACCAGUUGCCCCUCCCAGUCAGGACUUCAUACUUCAAUUAAUGCAACUUAGUAUUUUAACAGUCCUAGAGGUGGUCAUAUCACCUGUUGACUCAUUCUGAGCUUGUGGUCAAACUUCCUACCUUUUCUCUCUCCUCUCCUCUGCCUCCCAUAUAUACCAUGAUUUAUUAUAUGAACGUAGACAAAUCACUUCACCUCUCUAGGACUAAUUUCUCAUGUGAAAAAUGAGGUGAUUAAACCAGAUGAUUUCUGAGUUGUUUCCCCCUACCCCAUUCUAAUAUUCUUUGAGUCAAAAUAAGAAGUUCUAAGAGAGCUCACAUUGUACUUUUAUGUAGAAUCCUUCGCCCAUAGUGGUAUGAGAGUAUAAACUGCCUGGAAACAUUGAGCUCGUUGAACAACACGAAAAUGGACAGGUAAUUUUUCUCAGCUUACAUUCACAGAUAUGUGUAUAGUGUGUGGUAAAUUGUAUAUAUACAUGAAGGCCAACUGACUAUGCUAAAAUGUAGUGGUCAAGGAGGGAAAAAAUGAGGCACAGGCAAAAAUAAAAAUAAUAAAAAUAAAAAACAGUGAGGUCAUGGGGGGAAUCAGGGUGUGGUUUUCUUUGAAGGAACACUCCAUCACUUUUUUAAUCCAAGGGAGAAUAGCCAUGAAAAAGAGGAUAUUCAUCUCACUCAGCAGAAAGCCUGGUUUGAUGUGUUGUCAAUUUCCUCAUCUCAUUUCACACACCAUCCAAAUGUGCCAAAAAAAAAACAAACAAAAAAAAAACCACGAACAAAAACCCCCCACGCUCAACCAAUGGGCAAAUAAAUGCAUUUGCUGGGGGGGAAAUCAAACCACAUCUCAAUAACCCUUGCCCUUGGUAAAUUUCUUAUAAAGCAGACAUCUCCCAUGAUUUUAGCUGAUUAAUUUCUCCUGGUAUUUCUGCAUGACUGUCCUCCUUCCAUCCACACCCAAGAGGCUGGAUCCACUUUCCACCCUAGACUGAGAUUCUACACAUUAUUAUUUGACCUCUUUUGAAAAACUCAUGCAAGCUUUAUAACCCGAUCUGGGCACACCCCCCAUUGGGGCCUGCAUUUCCUGUGGAUGAUGCUUUGGUUUCCUAGGUGACAGUGGGAAGGAAUAGACCUGUUAGCUUGUGGCUUCUGACUCACUCUCUGCAAUGGACGUCACAGAAUCGUGGCUGAACAAGUGGAUGCUGAUAAAAACAUGUGCUUCGGGGAGCAGCAGGGCACUAAUGGUUAAGAUCAUCCCAUUGUACCAGGUCUCCCUACCACUAAGCAAGCCAACAGACAGACAGAAAUACCAGAUCUGAAAAAAACAAGCAACAGAUUUGAAACCCUCUCUGAACUCCCAUAUAGAAGUGCACAGUGGAGUCCUAUUUACCACCCCAUUAUUUUAUUCCUUUCCCUGUUUAGAAUUUCCUUUUUUUUUUUUCUGGAAUGUGGAAGUACCAGGAUUCUCUAAUGAAAUGUCAGGUGGAGGUUGAAGAAUGGGAGGUGGAGACAAGCCAAAAACUCACUAAAAAGCUUGUUUACUGAGAUGGCUGCUCUUUUUGAUCUUUCACAUUUGCUCCCUGAGAGGGGACAGGUAACCACAGUGGACUAACCAAUUAUCAAAGCCCAGGAUGAAAAAUACAUUCUGUUGUGAAAUUAAUCUUCAGAAAAGGUGGGUGUUGGGGUGCCUGGGUGGUUCAGUCAAUUAAGCAUCUGCCUUCAGCUCAGGUCAUGGUCCCAGGGUCAUGGAAUGGAGCCCUGCAUCAGACUUCCCUGCUCAGUGGGGAGUCUGCUUCUCCCUCUCCCCCUGCUCUUGUGCUCUUCUCUCUCUCUCUUUCACUUGCUCACUCUCUCUCUCAAAUAAAUAAAUAAAAUCUUAAAAAAAAGAAAAAAAGCUGGGUUUCGUGAAGCCUAGAGACAAGGACACACACACACACACACACACACACACACACACACACACACAGAGGUGGGCGGUGCAAGGGGGAGAGAGAGAAAGAGAGAUUAACUUUCUAGCUACCUCUUUUUCUAUCAGCUGAACCAGCAACAUACAAGUCAGGGAAGACUGCCUGGAACGAAAAAACACGGAAGAGUUCCUUUGUCCCUUACAUCUGAACUACUAAAGACUGAAUGGAUUCUUUAGAUUCUUGAAUUCCUUAAAUGACCAACAAACAUAAAGGUUCUCUACUGGAGAUAAUGCAUCUUGUUUUCCACAGAGCCUUAAGGGAUGCUUUAAAUAGCAUCAGCAAGCAUCCGAAUGAAUUAGACAGCAAAUGUAGGUUAGCUUUAUUUAGACAGAUAAAGACAAGCAGAGAAAGUUGUCUGGUUCAAGGGCAGUGCAGCCUGACAUGACAGCAUUUCUCAGAGGAGGGGAAAUUGCUUUGGGAGAGAGAGGUAUUUUGGGAAAAGAGCAAAGUUCCUUGGAUCACCAAGGGAAGAAGCAAUGCUAAGUUCUUCAGUACAGAGGAGCAGGAAUUAAGAGUGGCCUGCCACUUAUUAAAGGAAAGAUCUAUAGAUUUAAAAUGUAAAGCAGAACUUAGCAUCCCUAAGUUCAUACGUGCAUCCUCUCUUCUCUCUCCCAUUCCUUGGGAACACCAUCAGAAAGGACAUGCUUCCCAGAAUAAGAGCUGAGGUAGGGGAUUUAUCAGACUACUCUGGAGUGGGACUCAGCAUCCCCAACAAGUGCUGCAUCAGGAAAUAUGUCCAGGUGGAGAGCCCCUGGAGAUGGGGGAGCCCAGAGAGUGGGGAAACUGGCACAAAUGGGGACAUCCACACAUUAGACCAAAACGUAGGUGCCUUGAAAAAAGUUACAGUCCAUGGAUUUGGUUUACUUUUUCUCCCUCUCCCCACAACCCUUAAGUUACCUUCUGAAAACAAAUUUCUUAUAAAAAGCAGUGGGUCUAGGGGGAGAAAAAACUUUCUGGUUUCGUUUGCUUUUACUAUGAUGUUUAUGGUAUCUUUUCUUUCUAACUUUUUGCUGUUUUCUCCUCAGUUGGCCAAAGCCAAAUGACAUUUGAUGUCAGCUUGUAGCCCCACCAGUGAUUUGUUUUAAAAAUAAAAAACAAUUUCAAUCCAUUAUCAGGUUCCUAAAGUAACACUGAAUUUAGACUUGUAAAAAUAUCUUCAGAAAAAUCUAAAAAUUUAGAUUUGCAUAGAUUUCCAUUUCCUCCAAAUCUAAUUUUUAUAUGUUUCCUUUUUUAAGGGUCUCACAACUUUUGAAAAUUAUACAUCUUUGUAUGUUGCCAAGGCAGGUAUAGCAUAGGGGAAUAUUGUUAUAACGCUGUCAUGAAGCAAAAUUUAAACUCCAUUUUGAAUUAGGCAUUUAUGCCACUUUCUUUGUACUUACCAUUCAUUAAUUCAUUUCCUUCCUUCCUUCUUUCCUUCCUUCCUCCCUUCCUUCCACAAUUAUUUACUGAAAACCUGGCAUAAGUAAACAGGGAGCAUCAGACCUAUUUGCUCCCUUUCUCCAUCACUGGAGGCUUCUCUUUCCCUAAUCAUUUCAUCUCCUCUCUGUCUACCCCAAGCCCAUUCACUACUUACCUGGUAAACUAGAAUAUGGACUAGUAAUUUAUUCAACUGGGAACUACCGUUUUGCACUUUCACUAAAGCAUGCAAAACUUCCCUAAUUGACUUCUCCAAACUCAAUACACUUUCAGCUAUUUGUAAAAUUGGCAAAUCAGUUAAUCAUUUUAAUUCUAAGAAGGAGAUGGGAAGCCAGUUCCUGUGACUAUAUUUGUAAAGUAAUAGUCAAAAGACUCAUAUGAGUCUUGAUACCAUGCUUAUUCCAGGGUUAUAUUAACUUUUUAUAAAACCCCCCUCACCUAAAGUCGAUCCCAUAAAGUUUUCAUCUUUGUAGUUACAAGAAUGUAAUCAAAAGGAAGAGUGCUCUUUUAUUCCUUUUUGGUAAAGACGGUAACAUUGCUGUUUGAACAGAAAUGAAAAAACUUAAUAUCCCUGGGCGGCGUCUGGGUGGCUGAUUUGGAAGAGCGUGUGACUCUUGAUCUCCGGGUUGUGAGUUUGAGUCCCAUGUUGGGGACCUAAAAGAUUACCUAAAAAUAACUAACUAAAUAAAAUUAAAACAAGACAAAACAAAACUGAACAUCCCUGAGAUCUAUAUUUCUUGCUCUGACAUCUUCAAUCACUUCACUAUCAUUACAGUAUCUUUAUUAAAAUUUCCCAAUUUGUACUAAUAUGAGACCUUUUAAGUGUUCUUCAAUAAGUCAAUCUCAGAACUUGUUUUUAAUAUUUUUUAAGUACUGGAGAAAAGAAACUUGUUUAUGGAGGUAGAAGACAAAAUUAUAAUCCAUCACUAACCCAAAUAAAUGAAGUAUGAGGUAUGUAACAUAAAAAAAAAUUAUAACCAUUUUUUGUUUGUGUUUUUCUGUGUUCUCCCUGUUUGCUACACUAAUUUCUGUCAUUUUCAGUAGUUUUAAUAAUGCUCUGAAGAAGAAAAUAUGUUAAUAGUAUUUGACUAGAUAAAAUAAGAGUCACACGUUUUAUUUUUGUUUUGUGACAUUUGUGGCUCUUCAGCAUGACACUGGCAUUCUUCCUCUUCUGAUGCAACUUCCUUCUCUGUUUCAUUCUGUUUUGGUUGAGGUUAUUUCAACCUCCCCCCGCGCAACACACACACUUCUCUGAGCCGUCUUUCAGCUUGUCCAUGAGAUCCUGAGCUGUCACUUGAUUUUCUGAAUAUCCACUUCUGUUUUCUGUGGCAACACCUGCAGAUCAACAUCUAGCCCGCCACCCAGAUGGACACCCCUCCCCCCACUCUGAAAUGCACUCACCCGCGGACCCAGGUAUGGACGCACAUGCGUGCUCAGCUCCUCCACCCUCCCCUAGGGACCUCAAACAACUCCAGCUGUUUUCUGGUCCCGGCAGCAGAAGCAGCAACAGAGCCUCUCCUGUCAGUUCUCUGAGUGGAACCAGCACUAAUAAGGUUGCUGCUGCCAGGGAAGGAUUUUUAAGUCGCCUGGGCGGAAGAGAAGACCGCUGAACAGGGGAGAGAUGGUAGAGCCAGAUGCUUCAGGCUCCAUGAAGCCAGCAGAGGUUCGGAAGGAGCCGGAGUUAGGGUUCCUCCACCUGAAGUGUUUUGCCCCGAUUGUUGACAGCCACAUACGGAUAUUUCAAGACUCAGCUCAAGUAGAACCUCUUUCUGAAGCUUUUCCUGACAGGCUGACCAUCCCACAAUCCUUGUCUCAUUUAGUUGCUUAUCUGCCCACUACCCCAAACUCAUUAGAUUCAGCCUUUUAUAAAGGCACAGACCUUGGCUGAUUGAUCUUUUAUCUUAGUAUCCUGGUACAUGGCAGGCCUUCAAUAAAUGUUGGAUGGAUGAAUGGAAGUCACUGCUCCCCUCCCAUGGGUGAAAGUAGCUUUUGGUGGACGGGGAAAAGAGCAGUGUCCUAAUCGGUGUCUUCUCCUCUUUAAAGUUAACCUUGGAAAUGAAGAGACCAGUGUGAUGGUGUGAGGAUGACCCUCCAUAUGUGAAAAUAACAAAAAACAGGUUGCUGCUCGUCAUCUUCCCCAUCACUGGGAUUUCUUCAGGUGUCAAAUAGGAGCAUGGAGUUGGUGGAAGAGGUCCGUGUUUCCAGAAGAAACCGUGCCAUUCCACAGGGAAAUUAGAAAAGGAGAAAGUGACUCCUGAAUAAAGGAGAGUUUAUUCAUUUAAUAAAGACCCUUCUCCGAGGGAUUCUUGGCAGGAAGAGUUCGCUUUCCUGCUGCGCCAGUGAUUGAGCUGCAAGCAAAGAAUGGAAAUUUCCAGUUGCAGCAUCAAGGACUGCUGUUCUGCUGACUGUCUUGCUCAGCCAGGGUCAUCUGCUUCUCUAAGACAUCAAGGAACGCCAAGCUCAAUCACUUUGGAAAGGCAGAUAAAUGAAGCCAGUUCAUAUCCUCAAUGAGAAGACAAGAAGGGGCUGACCAUGGCGCAGUACUGUGUGGAGAACUAAUAGCAUUUGUACGAAGGCAAGUACUAUACCAAACAACAUAAAAUUCACCAGACACUGGGUCGGGGACUGGUUAUGUAGUCAAUGCUAAAGGCCAAGGUGACACAAGCGAUGUCGCAUUUGUUUUGUUUCAUUUCCCAGCCUCUGAUCUCAAAUACUCAUUUAACAAGCACAUGCUGUAUGUCGCCACGAGGAUGGGACUCUGGUCGUACUUGCCCACUCGGAGCUCCCUGAAUGUAUUGUGCUAUUUCACGGCUCUCUAGUUCUGCACACAAUGUUCCUGCUGCCUAGAACACACUUAGCCCUCUUCUCUUACUGGCUAACACCCACUCACUGAUCAAAACGAAGCUCAAUGAUACUGCCUCUUGGAAGACUUCCCUGAGUGCACCUCCACCUCCUCGCCCUCAACCUCUAGUCCAUGCUCAAAAUCUCAGCAUUUAUUCUACCAAAUUAAUAAUUAAAAUAGCUAAGAAUGCUUAUACAGUGCCAGGUUCUUCCUGUGUG